rnacentral:rRNA from 1 species
UACAGAGGGGGCAAGCGUUGUUCGGAAUUACUGGGCGUAAAGGGCGCGUAGGCGGCCUUCUAAGUCGAACGUGAAAUCCCUGGGCUCAACCCAGGAACUGCGUCCGAUACUGGAAGGCUUGAAUCCGGGAGAGGGAUGCGGAAUUCCAGGUGUAGCGGUGAAAUGCGUAGAUAUCUGGAGGAACACCGGAGGCGAAGGCGGCUUGCUGGGCUCGGUCUGACGCUGAGGCGCGAAAGCGUGGGGAGCGAACAGG